rnacentral:rRNA from 1 species
UACGUAGGGCGCGAGCGUUGUCCGGAAUUAUUGGGCGUAAAGAGCUCGUAGGCGGCUUGUCGCGUCGACUGUGAAAGCCCGCGGCUCAACCGCGGGUCUGCAGUCGAUACGGGCAGGCUAGAGUUCGGUAGGGGAGUGCGGAAUUCCUGGUGUAGCGGUGAAAUGCGCAGAUAUCAGGAGGAACACCGGUGGCGAAGGCGGCACUCUGGGCCGGUACUGACGCUGAGGAGCGAAAGCGUGGGGAGCGAACAGG